rnacentral:rRNA from 1 species
CGAGACGACUGCAACUAAGUGGGGGCUGGAAAAGGGAUGAGCUGUCUCCUUUACGUAAUUUGAAUUUAACUUUUGAGUGAAAAGGCUCAAAUUAUUUAGUGGGACGAUAAGACCCUAUAAAACUUUAUAUAAGUUUAAUUUGGCUUACAAUUUGAGUGAAAAGUAGCUUUAUUAGGCUUAUAUUUCGUUGGGGAGAUGUAGAUAUAAUGUGUAACUGUCUGUUUAAUUUAAUAAUUAUAAUUAGUGUGUGAUCCUUCUUUGUGGAUUAAAAGUAUAAGUUACUUUAGGGAUAACAGCGUGAUUUUCUUUGAGAGUUCUUAUCGACAAGAGUAGUUGCGACCUCGAUGUUGAAUUAAAAUUUCAGUUAGGUGUAGCCGUCUAGCUGGUAGGUCUGUUCGACCUUUAAAAUUUUACAUGAUUUGAGUUCAAACCGGUGUGAGCCAGGUUGGUUCUAUCUAA